rnacentral:rRNA from 1 species
AAUAGAUACCCUGGUAGUCCACGCCGUAAACGGUGGGCAUUAGAUGUGGGGCUCUUUCCAUGAGUUCCGCGUCGCAGCUAACGCAUUAAGUGCCCCGCCUGGGGAGUACGGCCGCAAGGCUAAAACUCAAAGGAAUUGACGGGGGCCCGCACAAGCGGCGGAGCAUGCGGAUUAAUUCGAUGCAACGCGAAGAACCUUACCAAGGCUUGACAUAUACGGUCUAUCCCUAGAGAUAGGGAGUGCUUCGGCGCCGUAUACAGGUGGUGCAUGGUUGUCGUCAGCUCGUGUCGUGAGAUGUUGGGUUAAGUCCCGCAACGAGCGCAACCCUCGUUCUAUGUUGCCAGCACGUAAUGGUGGGGUACUCAUAGGAGACUGCCGGGGUUCAACUCGGAGGAAGGUGGGGAUGACGUCAAAUCGUCAUGCCCCGUUAUGUCUUGGGCUUCACGCAUGCUACAAUGGCCGGUACAAAGGGCUGCAAUCCGUAAGGUGGAGCGAAUCCCAAAAGCCGGUCUCAGUUCGGA